rnacentral:rRNA from 1 species
GACGAACGCUGGCGGCGUGCUUAACACAUGCAAGUCGAACGGUGAAGGGGUCUGCUUUUGUGGGCCCUGGAUGAGUGGCGAACGGGUGAGUAACACGUGAGUAACCUGCCCCCUUCUUCUGGAUAACCGCAUGAAAGUGUGGCUAAUACGGGAUAUUCUGGGUCUGUCGCAUGAUGGGUCUGGGAAAGAUUGUGCCUUUGGGUGUUUUUGGUGGGGGAUGGGCUCGCGGCCUAUCAGCUUGUUGGUGGGGUGAUGGCCUACCAAGGCGGUGACGGGUAGCCGGCCUGAGAGGGUGGACGGUCACACUGGGACUGAGACACGGCCCAGACUCCUACGGGAGGCAGCAGUGGGGAAUAUUGCACAAUGGGCGCAAGCCUGAUGCAGCGACGCCGCGUGAGGGAUGGAGGCCUUCGGGUUGUAAACCUCUUUCGCCAGUGAAGCAGGCCUGCUCCUUGUGGGUGGGUUGACGGUAGCUGGAUAAGAAGCGCCGGCUAACUACGUG